UACGGGGGGGGCAAGCGUUGUUCGGAAUUACUGGGCGUAAAGGGCUCGUAGGCGGCCAACUAAGUCAGACGUGAAAUCCCUCGGCUUAACCGGGGAACUGCGUCUGAUACUGGAUGGCUUGAGUUCGGGAGAGGGAUGCGGAAUUCCAGGUGUAGCGGUGAAAUGCGUAGAUAUCAGGAGGAACACCGGUGGCGAAGGCGGGUCUCUGGGCCGUAACUGACGCUGAGACGCGAAAGCGUGGGGAGCAAACAGG
rnacentral:rRNA from 1 species